rnacentral:misc_RNA from 1 species
GUUCAUAUGAUGUUGAUUAGGUAAUUGAUACAGCGUUAUCCUAUAAAUACCUCUCCAUGAAGCUAAAGCUCUUCACUCACCCAUGAAAUAAUCCAUCUCCUUCUAUUUUUGCACUAUAAUAGACCUGACCUAAAAUAGUCACCAAAGCCACAAUGUGCUUGCUCGCUAAAUCACUUUCCAAGUUAUUCCAAGCCCUGCUUAUUCUCAUAUUUCUAUCUUCUAUAUCUUUCUUCAUCAAUUCUUCUGCUUCCGCUGCAACUUCAGUCUCUGCCGAUGCAAAGAGUGAUGAACCAGUUAAAGGGGGAAAGGAAGCUGAUUCUCUCUUAAAAUGGAAAGCCAGUCUUGAUAACCAAAGCC